GAGAAUGGAGCCCAUAAUAAAAUAAAAUAAAAAGUAGAAAGGACGUUGUUUCAGCUUCAUACAAGGAAACAAAAGGACAAAACACUUUAAACUUAUCACAACAUUAACCAACCAAGGUAAAAUCGGAACAUAACUAUUUCAAAACAAAAAAAAAUCAUCUAUUUUUUGUCUCACAAUAUUUUCACUCUACUCUCUAACUCUAAUCUACUUUUUCUUUCUUCAUUCAUGUAUCAAUAAAUAUUACCACCAUUUUGGUUUCUUUUUUCUUUUUUAUGAUAAGAAGCUUCUGAAGAUGAAGAAGAUGAAGAUGAAGAUGAAGAGAUUGCAGCAAAAUAAUAGUUCUCACUCUGAAUAUUGUUACUUUCUUCCUCAUCCAUGAAAAUCUGCUUGCAUCUACAUUCCACGCUACAGAAAGCUCUAUCGCCUCUUCAUUAUUUCAUGUUUCAAAUAAAAUAAAAACACAAAAAAUAAGUAUAUAAAAUCUCAACCGAGAAUAAAAAAAAACUUUUUUUUUCAUUUUUUUAAGGAACAAAAUAAAAAUGAAGAAUAAAUAUACAUAUAAAUAUAAAACAUUAAAGUAGAAUAAGAUCUAGGAUAUUUAAACAUAAAUUAAUAUUGUAAAAUUUUAUAUCAUAAUUUAUAAUAUAAAAGGACUUACUUGUACAUGUAGAUGUCUUUUCCUGGUAACAACCUUUUCGUGCAGAGAAAACAUAGUUUCAGAAACGUUGUAUGUUGUUGUUCCUGAAAAUGAGAUUCAUGAUGAAAAGGAGAUUGUUUAUGGAAGCUAUUAAGCAUCAUUGCUUUGUUAAUAACUUGGGGAGUUUUCUUGUUGUUCUUGCUUAUUAUACCACCUUUUUGAGAUUCUAAUACUACACUCAAACCCACCAUUUUUUGUUGUUGUUGUUGUAUAUUGUUUUGGUGGUUUCUACUUGCUAGUGAAUGGAAAGUGUAUAGUUUUGAUGAAGAGGAAUUUAUGGAGAAGAUAGUACAAAUAUUGAGAGAAGGUAGAAAUGAAAAGAAGAAGAGAAAAAAGUGUGUGUGGUGUGAUGGGACCCAUAGAACUAUAUGGAUGAAACAAUAAUAAGAAAGGACAAUCAGUAAUUUGAUUGCUUUUGAUAUGAAAAUGCCACGUAGUGGUUAUGGUUUUUAUUAUUAUGAUUUUUGUUUCGUCGUUUUGUGAUAAUGUUUUUGGUAGGAGUGUGUUUUUUUGGAUGUGUAGUAUUACUAACAUACUAAACUUUGGUUGACAAGCGAGAGAAAAGAAAAGAGAAUUAAUGACCCAAUGCAAUGCAUAGUCACAUUUAACUUUUGAGCUUUUAGGUGAAGCAGUAUUGAAUGGGUUAUGAUAAUGAGUUGUUGUUAUUAUAUUAGUAUUAUGGGUUUGUUGGUGAUUUGAUUCAAUUUGAAUGUUUGAAGAGAGUUGCUUUUGGGUUAGUUCAGUUUGUCAUUCAUUGAUUAGAACAAAGAGUCAUUUUAUGCAUAGUCAAACUUUGGUGUUUGUUUUUUAUUUUUUAUCUGUACUAUGAAAACGUUGGAGUUAAUAACGUACCUAUAUUCUCCAACAAACCGCAACUCUUGUAUUUUCAUAAAGAUUAGUUUCACUUCAACAUAAGAACACAAGGCAUUCAACCACUAGUCCUUUUACUUUCUAUGAAAACCACUUCUAAGGUUAAAUAGAAUAAAGAUUAAUUAAAUAAAUAUUACAGUAUAUACUACAAGUAUAUUCUAAAUAGAUAAUAUAAAUAAAUUACUAAUGUCAAAACUGUGUCUUUAAUAAAUGUUAUUAUAAUUUCAAUGUCCUAUUUAAUCUUUCAAGUUCACUAAUAUCCAAACUUAAAAUGGAAAUAAAAUGUUAUCUUGGCCCUUGACUUUAUUUUAAUAACACAUUGUCUAUAAACAUAUUUUCUAUAGAAUAGUCAAUUAUUAUUUUUUUAAAUUGAAAAAUUACACUCACUUUCUUUGAGAUCUAUUAAAAUGAUACCGAUACCCAUCUAUUUUAAAAAUAUACACUUAUAUUAUAUACAAAUGGAAUUUUUUAGUGAUAAACUAUAAAUAAAUAUUAUCUAUAUCUACGAUUUUUGUAUGUCACUAAGAAUAAAUAAAUAUCAGUGUUAUUUUAAUAGACUUCACGAUAGGUAGUUCCCCUAUUGUAAUUUUUUGAAGUGCAAAUUUUUUUUACACAUGAAAUCUAUUAAAACUAAACUCAAUAUAUAUAUAUAUAUAUAUAUAUAUUAUAUUAUAUAUAUUAUAUAUAUAUAUAUAUAUAUAUAUAUAUAUAUAUAUAUAUAUAUUAUAUAUAAAUAUAUUUAAUAUAUAUUAUAUAUAUAUAUAUAUUUUUCUUUCUACUUUGAGAAGAUUAGAAAUAUCAUGUAUGUGUAGUAGUAGUAUAGCGAACUUCCAACUUCGAAAAGGAAUCUUGCAUUAUUAUUUCCCGGAACAACAUAUUCUUCAAAUGAUACUAACAAAAACUCAAACACUGUAAUGCUUGGCUAUAGUAUUGUUGCAUUGCUCUUUAUGGUAUAAAAACAACUAAUUCAACUUGUAAAGAACCACAAAGUCUUCCAUUAAUUUAAAGGAUUGUGAAAGAGAAUUCAUAUACCAUGAUCGUGUAGCCUAUACUAGAGGUAUGGUCGACAUAAGUCCACAUCUCCAACAAAAAAACUACUCUCAGAAUGAAGAGGCCAAAAAUUGUCCUUCCAAACCUAACUAACAAAACCUUUACUUUAUAGCUUCUUUAGGAGUUUUUAAAAUAGAUUGCUCCCGCGGUAUAAAAUCAACUGUUUUGAAAAACAUGGACAUUUUAAAUCAGUUCUGAAAUUGAUUUUAAAAUGUUUUCAUAUCUUUUAGAAAACACACACAAAAUAUAUUUCGCAUAAUGGACAUAACAUUAAUUUAUAUUUCAAGUAUUUUUGUUUAAAGUUUUAUUGAAUGAACUAUGAAACAUAGAAAGAGAUGUCACAAGAUCUUCUUGUGUUCUUUAAAUUUAGUUCAUUACUUUGUUCAUGGGUGGUACCAAGCUAUAUAUAGAAGCUUAUACAAAACAAUCAGUUAGUUACAAAGCAAAGAAUUUGUUAUUCUAACUAAUUUCUCUAACUUCUUCUAACCACCAUUUUAAAUAACUAUCUAAAAUAGUUGUUCUACUUUUAAUAUUCUCCAGUAUUCCCCACAAGCUCGAGGUUGGAGAGAUGGAUAAACUUUGAGUUUGAGCUGAAAAUCUUGGAACAAGUUGGUUGAUAGAGGCUUCAUGAGAGCAUCAACUAUUUGUGCAGUCUCAAAUACACGUUAGAUUUGAAGCUUGUUUGAUACAACCCUCCCAUAGACAAAAUGUAUAUCCAACUCCAUGUGAUUGGUCUAGCAUAGAGGAACUUAUGAGAUAGCAUUACAACACUUAAGUUGUCAAAUAAUAGAGUUGGUGCAACUUAGUUAACAUGCAAUUUGGACAUGAGAGAUUCAAGUCAUAAGAACUUAGAGGUAGUAUGAUCCAAAGCUUUAUAAUCCACUUCUCUUCUAGAGCGUGUAAUUGAAGAUUGUUUCUUUGAGAUUCAUGAGACCAUGUUGGGACCAAAGUACACACACGAUCCUGAAGUUGAUCUCUUAUCAUCAAGAUCACUAGUCAAAACUUAGCCACUAUAAACCCUUGAGGAGAAUUUCUGUAAAGGAUUAGUUGGUGAGAGAAGUAAGCCAUGAUGAGUUGUACCACUUAAAUAUCGAAUGACACAUUUGACUACACUCCAAUGUGAUUACAAAGGUUUUGUCAUGAAUUGGAAGACUUUAUUGACAUAUUAAUCUAUGUUUGCUUAGUUUGCAAUGGAUGGACAUUGGUUCUCUUCAUUUGCACCAGUCAUGUUGGCCUUAGACAAUAACUAUUUGAUGUACUUGGUAUGUGUCAGCAAUACAACUUCAUUAGGUUGCUGAUGCAUCUCGAUUCCAAGAAAAUACUUUGGUUUGGAAGUUUCUUCAGGGAAAACCUGUUAUAAAGAUUUGAGAUCAUAUCAUAGAUUAUUUUAGAAGAUGCGCUAGUGAGAAGAGUGCCAUCAACAUAAACUAAUGUGUAUAGGAUGAUAUUUUGAUGCUUAUAGACAAAGAGUAAGUGAUCACACUUUCUAAAGGAAAAAUCAAAUUGAAGUACAAUUUGAUGGAGUUUUUUCUACAGGCCCUUGGAGCCUGUUAUAGACCAUAUAUUUUCUUCUUUAAUUUUCACAUAAUAUUUGAAUUGGUGUUGACAAAAUCAGGUGGUUGAUGCAUAUUAACUUCUUAUUGAAGAUCUUCAUUGAUAAAUGCAUUAUUGAUGUCAAUUUGUUGGAUUUUCCAUUGGCAUGUAAUAGCCAAUGACAAGAUGAUUCUAAUGGUGGUAGACUUGACUACAAGUGAAAAAGUUUCAUGGAAAUCAAAGCCUUGAUGUUGGUGAAAGCCUUUUUCUAAAAGCUAGCCUUGUAUCUGUUAAUGUAAGAACAAACUCAGUAUCUACAAUUCAUCUCUAAGAUUUUGAUAAUAAUAAAGGAUGAAACAAAAUGGUACCCUUGUUGGUGUAAGCCCUAGAGGCCAAUACUUUUGGUACUUGUGUCGAAUUAUUUAUUAAUAAUAAAAGGCUUUUUCUUUAUUAUGUUUGUUAAAUAAAGUCCCUAGAAUAGCUAGUCCGUUUAAUGUAUCAAGUGUGACUUGGUCAUAAGAUCACAUUAAACAUAAGGACACUAUUCUUAAAGUAUCUGUAGUCGAGUUUUAUUGUGAAAUGGGAUAACAUUAAAGCAUUAAGACUAUUAUGUAUAAAGACUGAUGAUCACAUCUCAUGGAUCAUGGGUAAGGAGUUAUCAAGUCUUAAACAUAGGUAUGAAUAUUAAGAGUAAUAUUUAUACCAGAUUGACCCGCUAUGAGAAUACUAUAUAGAAUGUUAUGCAAAGUGUCAUAAGUUAUUCUCAUGGAGAUAAUGGUGCAUACCACCCUUCGACCUAAAACCACUAUGGACCCUAGAUGUAGAGUCGAGUGCUUUAUUGUUGACCAAACAUUGUCCGUAACUGGAUAACCAUAAAGACAGUUAAUGGGUACUCCACGAAGCAUGCUAAAGGACAUGAGUGACCUAGAUGGAAUUUGCCCAUCCUGCGUAACAUGAUAAAUGUCUAUGGGCCCAAUAUUGAACUGGACAACGAUGACACGGUCUAUGCCUUGUGUUCAAUAUAGACAUAAGGGCAAAAGGGUAAUUAUACACAUAAGUAUUAUCACAGAAGGAUUUUUCAGAUCACAUGAUAUUUUCGUGUGUUGGAUAGCAGUGAUGUGUUGUUAGAUACCGCUCACUGUUUAUUAUGUUAAAUAUGUGAUUUAAUAUAAUUAUCAAUACCGCGAAAACCUACAGGGUCACACACAAAGGACGGAUUGAUGAGAGAUAGAGUAACUAAGGAACACCGUAAGGUACAGUUCACUUAAGUGAAUUGUAGAACAUCGUAAGGUACGAUGUACUUAAGUAGAAUACGAAAUAUGAUAAGGUACCAUGCGCUUAAGUGAAUUUAGCAUGUUAUAAGAUAUGGGCCACAUACACUUAAGUGAGCUUUUUAGCUUGAAGCCCACACAAGUGGUUCUAUAAAUAGAACCCUUGUGCAGAAGCAUAAGCUGCAGUUGCAUUUUUCGUUUUUCUCUCUCUCUCUCUCUCUCACUCAAAGCCUUCAUUCGUAGCAGCUAGCACUGAGAUUGAAGGAUUCUGUUCGUGUGGACUGAGUAGAGGCGUUGUUGUCGUUCAACGUUCGUGAUCGCUCCGUAGAUCUGCAUCAAAGGUUUCAAUCAUCGCAAGAGGUAACUAUUCUAUCACUGAUCAUGCCCAUUCGUAAGGAUCACUAAUGGAGAAAAUUUUAAUUUCCGCUGCGUUUUGGAUCGCCCUUCUCCUUCAGUGGUAUCAGAGCCACUUAUGAAACCAUGCAUCGGAUAACUGUUUAUUUUCUGUAUUAAUAUGAUUAAAAGACAGAAUGAAUUAAAGAAUAAACGAGUAAUUAAAUUUGGCAUCAUGUGUGUACGAUUUGGAUGAUUGAUGUUGACUAUGCUUCGGAACCGACAUUAGUAUGGUGAAGCAGUGAUACAUCGAUCGUCCAUAGGUUACGCAAUUGAGAUCGAUCAAGUUAUAUAUAUGAUAUAAGUAAUCCUAAUGCAAAAUACGGUAUAUAUGAUAUACUAUUUCUGUUUCGUUCAUUCAAACACUUAAUGGUUAUUUUCUUUUGAGCGAUCAAUGGUCAUUUGCUUCGAAAUCCGACAUUAGUAUGGUGAAGAAAUGACCUGUUGAUAAAUCAUACUGAAUCAACAAUCGAGAUGUAUUUGACGGUCUGAAAUUGGUGCAUUAGGGUUAGUGACGGCACAAGGGUUGUGCCGUCAAGGAGUUGUGAAUUGAGGGCUUCUUGGAUCAAGUCUGUUGAAUGUUUCAAAAGGCGCUGAUUUUGGCCGCGUGACGUUCGUCAUGGGCCUGUGACGAUCGUAACAAGCUGGACGUGACGGUCGUAACAUGCUUUGUGACGGUCGUUACAUUCACAGAUCCAGAAUUCUAGGCGUUUCUGUUAUUUUGUCCGCAUGACGUUCGUCAUGGGCCUGUGACGGUCGUAACAAGAUGGACGUGACGAUCGUAACAUGCUUGUGACGGUCGUCACAUUCACAGAUCCAUAAUUCUAGGCAUUUCUGUUAUUUUGGCCGUGUGACGUUCGUCAUAGGCCUGUGAUGGUCGUAACAAGCUGGACGUGACGGUCGUAACAUGCUUGUGACGGUCGUCACAUUCACAGAGUCAGAAUUCUCGGGGUUUCCGUUUUGUGACUGCGCAAGAGUUGUGUUGAUGCAAAACGACGUCGAUUUCAAAUGAAUUGUUCAAAUGAAACCCCGUUCCCGCUGACCGGGCAGCGGACCCCCGACUAACUCUGCGUAGUGUGAUCGAUCGCUGAAAUUUAAUUUGGUUUUAAUUAAUUAAAAGAAUUAAAAUUAAUAAUAAUAAUAAUAAUGUGUUUAUUAUUAUUUUCUUGUGGUGAUCAGUUAUGGCCUUAGUUUUGCAUUAUUUUGUUUUGGGUUUUUAAAUACGACCUGCGUGUCGUGCCUCUCCUUUUAAUCUCUUAAUGUAACUUCUUUUCUCAUCUGAAUCCCUCGUAUGUAAAACGAGUUUCUUUUGUAAUGUAAUGUUAUGAAGAAAGAGAAGAAUUCAAUAUCAAAGGAGGACAAUGUUAUGAAGCAAGAGAAGAAUUCAAUAUCAAAGGAGGACAACCUUGAAGAUCUUGCUUGGAGAAGCUUAGAUCGUUAUUAGGUUAGCUUAGAUUCUUUCAUUGGCUUGGGAGAACAAUUGCGCUAGGGGCCAUAACUGUUUCAUUAUGUAUGUUCAUGCAUGUGUAUGUAUGUUGAUGCAUGUGAAUAUAUGUUGAUGCAUGUGAGAGACAAUUUAUAUGAUAAAUAAGCCGGUGAGAUCAGAACAAUUGCAAUUCCCUCAAAUUAAAUAUUAAGUUUAUGCUUUCCAAGUUUUAGCACUCAUCAAGACUAGUAUCGGAUAAUGUAGGUUUCGCCUACGCGAGGUGCAUGUUCUAUAUUAGUAAGGUGCGAUGGGAUAAUUGUAAUAUCCAAUUGCUAAAACAAUGGGUCAAACUUAACUAAACAAAUUAUAAUAAGAUUAUAUAUGUUUAGAAGCAAGAGUUGGAAAUGAUCCAUGUGAUGGAUUGGAAUAAGGAGUUAUUCACCCAACUAAAAUAUUCGAGAGUUGUAUUAGAUACAAUUGGAAGGAGUUCCUACCUAAAUAACCUAGUUUUGUGUAAUCCGCCUACGCGGACUUAGAACGAAGUGAAAUAUGGAUCUCAACCCACUAGAAAAUCUUCCAACGGGAUUUUCCGAAUCAAAUGAUGAGGGUCAUUUGUUUUGAGUAAAAUAGUGGGAGCAUAUUUGAUUAAAGGCCUAAUUAAAUAUGUCAAUGAUACUUAUAUUUUCAUUAAUCCUUAUGUAGAUUACCAUGACAGCAAACACCUCUAACAACAUCUUGCGAUCAAUCCUUGACAAGGAAAAAUUGUCUGGGACAAAUUUUCUGGAUUGGCACCGAAACCUGAGGAUUGUCCUCAAACAUGAUAAAAAGCUGUAUGUCUUGGAGACACCUGUUCCUGAAGAGGAACCUCCUAGUUCUGCACCUAAGGCAGAAAGAGAUGCUUAUAAGAAGCAUGUCGAUGAUGCCAAUGAAACUGCUUGUCUCAUGCUAGCUACCAUGAACUCAGAAUUGCAAAAGCAACAUGAGAACAUGUCAGCGUUCGAUAUGAUCGAACACCUGAAGUUGCUCUAUCAAGAGCAAGCAAGGCAUGAGAGGUUUGAAGUUUCAAAAGCCCUUUUUCAAAGCAAGUUAGCUGAGGGAGCCCCUGUAAGUCCCCAUGUGCUCAAGAUGAUUGGGUAUGUGGAAAACCUUGAAAGGUUGGGUUUUCCCCUCGGAAAGGAACUUGCGACUGAUUUGAUCUUGCAAUCGUUGCCAGAUAGAUUCAGUCAAUUUGUCCUAAAUUUCAAUAUGAAUGAUAUGGACAAAUCUCUUCCUGAACUGCUAGCCAUGUUAAGAACUGCUGAGCAGAAUCUGAAGUCAAAAGGGAAGUCCAUUCUGAUGAUCGGAAAUGGAAAGAGACAGAACAAAAGGCCCACCAAGCAGGGUGAUAAAGGGAAAGGCAAGGAAGUUGCCAAACCCAAACCCACUGUUGCUGCUUUGAAGCCUAGUGGAGGCAUAGCAAAGGCAGGCACCUGCUUCCAUUGCGGUAAGACCGGACACUGGAAGAGAAACUGCCCAAAGUACCUGGAAGAUACGAAGAAUGGAGUAGAGACUUCAACUUCAGGUAUUUUUGUUAUUGAAAUUAAUUUAUCUACUUCUGCAUCAUGGGUAUUAGAUACUGGAUGCGGUUCUCACAUUUGUACAAAUGUGCAGGGGCUAAAAAGGAGUAGAGAUUUGGCAAAAGGUGAAGUCGACCUACGAGUUGGCAAUGGAGCAAAGGUUGCUGCUUUAGCCGUAGGAACUUAUGUAUUGACUUUACCUAGUGGUUUAAUAAUUCAGUUAGAGAACUGUUAUUAUGUACCUGCAAUUAGCAGGAAUAUUAUUUCCAUUUCUUGUUUGGACAAGUUUGGUUUUUCAUUAUAAUAAAGAACAAUUGUUGCUCAAUGUAUUUGAAUGAUAUAUUCUAUGCUACUGCACAAAUGAGAAAUGGACUAUAUGUCCUUGAUCUCGAAAUGCCUAUUUAUAACAUUAAUAAUAAAAGGAUGAAACCUAACGAGUUGAAUCCAACUUACCUUUGGCAUUGUCAAUUAGGCAACAUAAAUGAGAAACGCAUUUCCAAACUCCAUAAAGAUGGACUCUUGGACUCUUUUGAUUAUGAAUCAUAUGAGACAUGCAUAUCUUGUUUAAUUGGAAAGAUGACAAAAUCUCCAUUCACAGGAAAAGGUGAAAGAGCGAAUGAUCUUUUGGGCCUCAUACAUACUGAUGUAUAUGGACCACUGAACAUACCAGCCAGUGGAGGUUUUCAGUACUUCAUCACAUUCACUGAUGAUUUCAGUAGAUAUGGUUAUGUGUAUUUAAUGAAACACAAAUUAGAGUCCUUUGAAAAGUUCAAGGAAUUCAAAAAUGAAGUACAAAACCAACUAGGUAAGAAUAUUAAAACUCUUCGAUCGGAUCGAGGUGGUGAGUAUUUAAGCCUAGAGUUUGAUGACCAUCUGAAAGAGUGUGGGAUCCUAUCCCAACUUACUCCUCCUGGAACACCCGAAUGGAAUGGUGUAUCUGAGAGAAGAAAUCGAACCCUGUUAGACAUGGUCCGAUCCAUGAUGAGUCACGCCGAUCUUCCAAACUCCUUUUGAGGACAUGCACUAUUGACAACAGCUUACACACUUAACCGUGUUCCAUCCAAAAAGGUUGAGAAGACAACAUGGUCCGAUCCAUGAUGAGUCACGCCGAUCUUCCAAACUCCUUUUGAGGACAUGCACUAUUGACAACAGCUUACACACUUAACCGUGUUCCAUCCAAAAAGGUUGAGAAGACACCAUAUGAGAUGUGGAAUGGUAAGAAACCACAUAUGUCUUACUUGAAAAUUUGGGGUUGCGAAGUUUAUGUGAAACGACAAGUUUCAACUAAGCUUGAGCCCAAAUCUGACAAAUGCUUAUUUAUGGGGUAUCCUAGAGAAACAAGAGGGUAUUACUUCUACAAUCCUUCUGAGGGAAAAGUAUUUGUUGCUCGAACUAGAGUUUUCCUAUAAAAGGAUUUUAUUUCCAAAGGAAUCAGUGGGAGGAAAGUAGAGCUUGAAGAAAUUCAAGAAUCACAAAGCAUUGAUACACCUAUGGAGGAAUUAGAGCUGGAAACACAAGUAGUUGUGGAAGAGCAACCUGUUCAAGUAGAACAAGACCAGCGUAGGUCAGGCAGGAUACGUCACCUACCUGAGAGAUAUGGAUAUCUCAUAACUGACCAAGGUGAUGUAUUACUCAUGGAUCAAGAUGAGCCCGUGACCUACCAAGAGGCCAUAAUUGGUCCCGAGUCUGAGAAAUGGCUAGAAGCCAUGAAAUCUGAAAUGGAUUCCAUGUACACAAACCAAGUUUGGACAUUGGUAGAGCCUCCUGUAGGAGUUAACCCUAUAGGAUGCAAGUGGGUCUUCAAAACAAAGACUGGCAUGGAUGGUAAGGUACAUACCUAUAAGGCAAGACUGGUUGCAAAAGGAUAUAAACAAAUUCAUGGGGUUGACUAUGAUAAAACCUUUUCACCAGUUGCAAUGCUUAAAUCUGUUCGGAUUUUUACUCUCCGCUAUCGUCCUGCUGAUCAUGAUUAUGAAAUAUGGCAGAUGGCUGUCAAAACUGCUUCCUUAAUGGGAAUCUUCUGGGAUGUGUACAUGACAAAACCUGAAAGAUUUGAUACCUGAAGAAGCCCGCAAAGCAUACUGCAGUAACAAAGACUCAAUUCGUGGAUUCGCAAGCAAGCCUUCGAAGCUGGAAUCUCGUUUUGAUGGACAACAGUUAAACAUCUCAUGGACUUCAGAAGAACGAAGUAUGAGCCCUUGUGUCUACAAGAAGCGUUAGUGCGGAGCCCUGCAAAAAAAUUUUUCCGGGUUUUUGUCCUACGGUAUCUAUAUGUAGAUGACAUAUCUACUCAUUGGAAACGAUGUCCCUACCCUACAACAAGUAAAGUCUUGGUUGGGGAAAUGCUUUUCUAUGAAGGACUUAGGUGAAGCAGCCUAUAUAUUAGGAAUCAGAAUCUAUAGAGAUAGAUCACAAAAAUUGUUUGGCCUAAGUCAGAGUACAUACAUAGACAAAGUGCUGAGACGCUUUAAUAUGCAUGAUUCCAAGAAAGGAUUCAUACCUAUGCAACAUGGUUGUGUCUAUCAAAAACACAAUACCCUUCAACUAAGGAAGAAAGGGAUCACAUGAAUAAGAUUCCAUAUGCAUCUGCAAUAGGAUUUAUCAUGUAUGCCAUGUUAUGUACUCGACCAGAUGUCUCGUAUGCUUUGAGUGCAACGAGUAGGUACCAAUCUGAUCCCGGUGAUGCUCAUUGGGUAGCUGUCAAGAAUAUCCUUAAGUAUUUGAGAAGGACUAAUGACUCAUUCUUGAUAUAUGGAGGUCAGGAAUAGCUGGCUGUAAUUGGAUACACCGAUGCUAGCUUCCAGACACAUAAGGAUGACUUUAGAUCGCAAUCUGGUUAUGUGUUUUGCUUAAACGGUGGCGUUGUGAGCUGGAAAAGUUCAAAGCAAGAUACAAUUGCUGAUUCUACAACCGAGGCCGAGUAUAUUAUUGCCUCAAGUGCAGCAAAGAAAGCUGUUUGGAUCAAAAAGUUCAUUAGUGAACUUGGCAUAGUUCCUAGCAUUGUGGAUCCCAUUGGUCUCUAUUGUGAUAAAAAUGGUGCUAUCGCACAAGCUAAGGAGCCUAGAUCUCACCAACGAUCAAAAAGUUCAUUAGUGAACUUGGCAUAGUUCCUAGCAUUGUGGAUCCCAUUGGUCUCUAUUGUGAUAAAAAUGGUGCUAUCGCACAAGCUAAGGAGCCUAGAUCUCACCAACGAUCCAAACACAUGCUUAGGCGUUAUCACCUCAUUCGAGAGAUAAUAGAUAGAGGAGAUGUGAAAAUAUGCAGAGUACCUACACUUGAUAAACGCAUUAUUGAUGUCAAUUUGUUGGAUUUACCAUUGGCAUGUAAUAGCCAAUGACAAGAUGAUUCUAAUGGUGGUAGACUUGACUACAAGUGAAAAAGUUUCAUGGAAAUCAAAGCCUUGAUGUUGGUGAAAGCCUUUUUCUAAAAGCUAGCCUUGUAUUUGUUAAUGUAAGAACAAACUCAAUAUCUACAAUUCAUCUCUAAGAUUUUGAUAAUAAUAAAGGAUGAAACAAAAUGGUACCCUUGUUGGUGUAAGACCUAGAGGCCAAUACUUUUGGUACUUGUAUCAAAUUAUUUAUUAAUAAUAAAAGGCUUUUUCUUUAUUAUGUUUGUUUAAUAAAGUCGCUAGAAUAGCUAGUCCGUUUAAUGUAUCAAUUGUGACUUGGUCAUGAGAUCACAUUAAACAUAAGGACACUAUUCUUAAAGUAUCUGUAGUCGAGUUUUAUUGUGAAGUGGGAUAACAUUAAAGCAUUAAGACUAUUAUGUAUAAAGACUGAUGAUCACAUCUCAUGGAUCAUGGAUAAGGAGUUAUCAAGUCUUAAACAUAGGUAUGAAUGUUAAGAGUAAUAUUUAUACUGGAUUGACCCGCUAUGAGAAUACUAUAUAGAAUGUUAUGCAAAUCAUGGAUAAGGAGUUAUCAAGUCUUAAACAUAGGUAUGAAUGUUAAGAGUAAUAUUUAUACUGGAUUGACCCGCUAUGAGAAUACUAUAUAGAAUGUUAUGCAAAGUGUCAUAAGUUAUUCUCAUGGAGAUACUGGUGUAUACCACCCUUCGACCUGAAACCACUAUGGACCCUAGAUGUAGAGUCGAGUGCUUUAUUGCUGAUAAACCAUUGUCUGUAACUGGAUAACCAUAAAGACAGUUGAUGGGUACUCCACGAAGCAUACUAAAGGACAUGAGUGACCUAGAUGGAAUUUGCCCAUCCUGCGUAACAGGAUAAAUGUCUAUGGGCCCAAUAUUGAACUGGACAAGGAUGACACAGUAUAUGCCUUGUGUUCAAUAUAGACAUAAGGGUAAAAGGGUAAUUAUACACAUAAGUAUUAUCACAGAAGGAUUUGUAAGAUCACAUGACAUUUUCGUGUGUUGGGUAGCAGUGAUGUGUUGCUAGAUACCGCUCACUGUUUAUUAUGUUAAAUACGUGAUUUAAUAUAAUUUCCAAUGCCGUGAAAACCUACAGGGUCACACACAAAGGACGGAUUGAUGAGAGAUAGAGUAACUAAGGAACACCGUAAGGUACGAUGCACUAAAGUGAAUUGUAGAACAUCGUAAGGUACGGUGUACUUAAGUAGAAUACGAAAUAUGGUAAGGUACCACGCGCUUAAGUGAAUUUGGCAUGUUAUAAGAUAUGGGCCACAUACACUUAAGUGGACUUUUUAGCUUGAAGCCCACACAAGUGGUUCUAUAAAUAGAACCCUUGUGCAGUAGCAUAAGCUGCAGUUGCAUUUUUCGUUUUUCUCUCUCUCUCUCUCUCUCACUCACUCAAAGCCUUCAUUCGUAACAGCUAGCACUGAGAUUGAAGGAUUCCGUUCGUGUGGACUGAAUAGAGGCGUUGUCGUCGUUCAACGUUCGUGAUCGCUCCGUUGAUCUGCAUCAAAGGUUUCAAUCGUCACAAGAGGUAACUAUUCUAUUACUGAUCAUGCCCAUUCGUAAUCACUAAAGGAGAAAAUUUUAAUUUCCGUUGCGUUUUGGAACGCCCUUCUCCUUCAACCCUAACAUAUUUUAUCUAAGUAUGCAGGACUCUAAUAAAAAAGAAGUCAGAUAGACUUACAUCAGAUAUAGACACAAGUUUAGAAUGACCACUUAGACAUAACUCAAGCAGAAGCUCUGACUCUGAAUAAAGGAAGCGUACAAAGCGUAACAAACAAAGAGAGAUCAGACACUCUAAAGCGGAAGAGCGCACUCUAGGAUCUGAAGCUUUUACACUCUGACGUAAUCAAUCAGGAAGACAUCAAGAACCUCUAAAGAUAGUCAGCUGCAAGCAACUUUCUGAAGAUAUACUUGCUGAACAGAAACUGUGAUAUCUGAACAUUCUGAUUCAGAAACGAUCUCCAAAGACUUAGCUAUGAAGACCUCCACUUAUGGCAAGAAUCUAAUUUUGGAAGAAAGUUAUAGCGCCCCAAACUGUUUUAGAAAGAACACAGAGAUUAAUGACAUUUAUCAACCAUCAUUGCCAAAGAUCCUUUCAUUCAACGGUCUCCUCAUCACUCCUAUAUAUAGGAUGAAUCACUUCACUAAGUAGACAACGGAAACACACGAGAAUACACAAACUCUUCCAUAUCUCUUACUCAUUCUCAUUUUCACACGAGUUGCCGCUCUAAAGUGUGAACAAUUCUUUUGCCCUUACCUUGUGUAAUUUCUGCUUACCUAGAAACACUAAGCACUACUGUAAUUUUAUUUAAUUGCUGAAUUAUUCUCAAGUGACUUGUGAAGUCUGUAAACUUGAGAGGGCUAAGAGAUGUUUAUCCUCUUAGACGAUCAUUAUUGUAAUCUUUCAAGAUUAGUGGAUUAAGUCCGUAUUGAAGGUGAAAUCACCUUGGCUGGGUGGACUCGAGUAGCUUUGAAUAUCAAGUGAACCAGUAUAAAAAUUCUGUGUUAAUAUUAUUAUUUUUCGCGUGUGUUUUGUUUCCAAAUUUUUUUUAUCAUAAGUUAAAAUAAUUCAAACCUCCCUUUCUUGUUUUUCUCUACCUUCAAUUGGUAUCAGAGCUCCGACUCUGUUAUUGAUUUUCUAAUCAAACACUUAACAGUGUAGAGAGAUCCAGCGUAAGAAAAAUGUUAUGGCCAACACCAAUGAAAGAGACAAUUACAAUGCUAAACCUCCAAUCUUUAAUGGAGAAAAAUUUGAUUACUGGAAAGACAUAAUCAGAAGUUUCUUUCUGGGUUAUGACGUUGAUCUAUGGGACAUAGUUACUAUUGGCUAUAUACCUCUUAUAUCUGAUGCUGGUAUUGCUAUUGCCGGAAACAAAAUGGCGAAUGAUCAUAAGCGUGACUUCAAGAAUCAUCACAAAGCCAGGACAGUAUUGUUGAAUGCCAUUUCCUACAAUGAAUAUGAAAAGAUCACCAUCAUAGAAACUGCCAAAGAGAUACUUGACUCCCUGAGGACGACUCAAGAAGGAAAUUCACAAGUCAAAGAGACAAAGGCUCUGGAUCCAAUUCAGAAGUAUGAAGCUUUCAAGAUCGAGGACGACGAAGCUAUAAAGGUAAUGUUUUCUAGAUUUCAAACUUUAAUUGCAAGACUCAAGGUUCUGGACAAAGGCUACGCAACUGCAGAUCAUGUCAAAAAGAUUUUCAGAAGUCUGCCAAAGAAGUGGAGACCCAUGGUCACUGCAUUAAAAUUAUCAAAGGAUCUGAACAACAUAAGCCUAGAAGAACCCGUCGGCUCCCUCAAAAGUCACGAGAUAGAACUUGAGGAAGAUGAGCCCCAAAAGAAGAACAAAUAUGUAGCCCUGAAAUCCAGAUCUGAGAGACGUAAACCAGAAAGGAAAAAAGCUCUCCAAGCUGAAGAAGAUAAUAAUGAUAACUCUGAAAAGGAAGACUCUGAUGAUGAAGAAGAGUUAUCCCUUUUGACCAGAAGAGUGAAACAACUCUGGAGAAAAAGGAAUAACAACUUCAGAAGACCAAAACCCAAGGGAGAUCGCCCAUAAUCAACUUCCAGAAGCAAAUCAAACAAAGAGGUAACAUGCUAUGAAUGUAAAGAAACAGGUCAUUACAUAAAGGAAUGCCCAAAGCUCAAGAAAGAAAGCUCUAGAAGAGAAAGUUUCAAGAAAAAUUCCUUCAAAACCAAGAAGGGACUCAUGCCCACCUGGGACGACACUGAAUCUAAUUCCUCUUAAUCAGACUCUGAAGAUUAGGCAAAUAUGGCAUUCAUGGCUACCACAUUUGGUAACUCAUCAGAAAGAGAAUCCGAUCCUGAAGAGGUAUUUUUUGAUCUUUCUCGCUCUGACCUUGAAUCAUGCCUCUCUGAAUCUCUAAACUCAUAUUAGAAACUUAAACAAAAAUUUAAAGCAUUAAAAAGGGUCCUUGAAGACACCAUUGAAGAAUGUGAUAAGCUUGAGAUAACAGUUUCUGAAUUAAAGGAUGAUAUUCUGAUUCUGACAAGAGAAAAAGAAUCCACAAAUAAACAAUGUUUAAAACUUGAAGAAGCUGUAUCUCAAGCCCCAUAAACUUCCAACACAAUUAUAUAUGAAUACGAAAAAGCUUUUCAAAAUUUUCUGAAAAUGGGAUAGAAAGAAGCAUAAUGGCUUCUAUGAUUUGUGGAGUCAGAUAUAAUAAGAAAAGAGGAAUAGGAUAUGAUUCUAAUGAAGACAAACACAUAUCUUCUGCAUAUGACAAACCUAAAUCCUCAUUUUCUUAUCAUUACACACAUGCACAAACACAACGGGUUACUAAUGCUAGAAAACCCAAAGUCUUAAGAAACUCUGGGAGAACUAAUCACAAAGGACCCAAAAGAUUAUGGGUACCAAAGGAUAAGAUAAUUUAUGUUGCAGAUAUCCUAUGCAGUAGAGUUAAGACACCAAUCAUGGUACCUGGACUCUGGGUGCUCGCGACACAUGACAGGAAGAAAGCAUAUGUUCCAAAGGCUGGAACUUAAGGAUGUUGGCUUUGUAGUUUUGGAGGAAAUCAAAAAGGAAGAAUCAGAGGCUCCGGAACUAUUGGUAAUGGAUCUCUUCCCUAUAUAUCUGAUGUUCUCUAUGUAGAAGGAUUAAUGCAUAACCUGUUAUCAAUAAGCCAAUUAAGUGAUAACGGUUAUGAUAUAAUCUUUAAUCAGAAAAUAUGUAAAGAAAUUAAUCAGAACAAUGGAACAGUUCUAUUCACUGGCAAGAGGAAAAACAACAUUUACAAAAUAAAUCUUUCAGAUCUAAAAGAUCAAAAUGUAAAAUGUUUAAUGUCUGUAAACAAAGAGCAAUGGGUAUGGCAUAGACACUUGGGCCACAUUAGCAUGAGAAGACUCUCUCAGCUAAAUAAACUCGAGUUAGUUAGAGGUCUACCUAAGCUGAAGUUUUCUUCAGAUGCUCUGUGUGAGGCAUGUUAGAAAGGAAAAUUUUCAAAAAUAUCUUUAAAAAAAAAUGUUGUUUCCACCUCUAAGCCUCUGGAACUUCUUCACAUUGACCUUUUUGGACCUGUUAAGACAACUUUAGUCAAUGGAAAGAAGUAUGGACUGGUCAUUAUUGAUGAUUUUAGUCGCUGGACAUGGGUAAAAUUUCUAAAGCACAAGAGUCAGUCUCACUCUGUAUUCACUAGCUUCUGUUCUAAAGUGCAGAACAAAUUUGACUCUAAAAUCAUCAGAGUCAAAAGUGAUCAUGGUUGCGAAUUCGAAAAUAAGUUCUUUGAAGAACUGUUUGAUUCAAAUGGAAUAUCCCAUGAUUUCUCCUACCCUAGAACUCCACAAUAAAAUGGAGUUGUAGAGAGGAAGAAUAGGACACUCCAAGAAAUGGCCAGAACCAUGACCAAUGAAACAAAUUUGGCUAAGCACUUUUAGGCAGAAGCAGUAAAUACAGCGUGUUAUAUUCAGAAUAUAAUCUCUGUAAGACCUAUUCUGGAGAAGACUCCCUAUGAACUGUACAAGGGAAAAAACCCAACAUUUAUUACUUCCAUCCUUUUGGAUGCUCAUGUUUUAUUCUUAACCCUAAAGAACAUCUGAACAAGUUUGAUUCAAAAGCAUAAAAAGGUAUUAUGUUAGGAUACUCAGAACGCUCUAAAGGCUACAAAGUAUACAACACAGAAACCAAAAUUGUGGAAGAAUCAAUACAUGUCAGAUUUGAUGAUAAGCUUGACCCUGAAAAGUCAAAGCUAGUUGAAAAACUUGCAGAUUUGGAGGUAACUCUUGCAGGAUCUGAUGAAAAGACUAAAGCAUCAGAGGAAGCUGAGAAGCAAAGUUCAGAAACAACUGAAAUCUCAACUAUCCAGAAAAGAUCAAGAAAUCGUCCAAACAUCUCUGAAGAAUUAAUUCUGGGAAACAAGGAUGAACCUGUCAGAACAAGGUCGACAUUCAAAGUAUCUGAAGAAACUCCUCUAGGAUUAGUAUCUCUGAUUGAGCCUACUUCUUGUGAUGAGGCACUUCUAGAUAAUGAUUGGAUUCUGGCAAUGAAAGAAGAACUUGAUCAAUUUUCAAAGAAUGAUGUCUGGGAUCUUGUCCCAAAGCCUAAAGGAACUCAUAUUAUUGGAACAAGAUGGGUAUUCAGAAAUAAAUUGAACGAAAAGGGAGAAGUAGUCAGAAACAAAGCACGACUGGUGGCACGAGGUUACAGUCAACAAGAAGGCAUUGACUACAACGAAACCUUUGCUCCAGUCGCCAAGUUAGAAUCCAUUCGUUUACUUGUAUCAUUCGCUGUAAAUCACUCCAUUAAAUUAUAUCAGAUGGAUGUCAAGAGCACAUUUCUUAAUGGUUAUAUAUCAGAAGAAGUGUAUGUUCAUCAACCCCCAGGUUUUGAAAACUCUAAAUGUCCAGAACAUGUUUUUAAACUGAAAAAGUCACUGUAUGGUCUAAAUAGAGCUUGGUAUGAAAGACUAAGCAACUUUCUUAUAGAACAUGACUUUAUUAGGGGAAAGAUUGACUCUACACUCUUCUAUAAAAACAUUAGAAAUAACCUCAUGAUAUGUCAGAUAUAUGUUGAUGAUAUAAUUUUUGGUUCAGCUAACCCCUCUGUCUGUCAAGAAUUUUCUGAGCUAAUGCAGGCAAAAUUUGAAAUGAGUUUAAUGCAAGAACUAAAAUUUUUUCUGGGAAUACAAAUCAAUCAAGCUUCAGAAGCUACAUAUGUAUAUCAAAGUAAAUACAUAAAAGACAUUCUGAAGAAAUUUGAAAUGUCAGAAUGCAAACCAGCAAAGACACCCAUGCAUCCAACUUGCAUUCUGGAGAAAGAAGAAGUAAGUCAAAAGGUUUGUUAGAAGCUCUAUCGUGGUAUGAUAGGCUCUCUUCUCUAUCUGAAGGCUACCCGUCCUGACAUUAUUUUUAGUGUAUGUCUUUGUGUCAGAUUCCAAUCAGAUCCAAGGGAAUCUCAUUUAACAACAGUUAAAAGAAUCCUAAGGUAUCUGAAAGGAACCCCUAACUUUGGCCUGAUGUAUGAGAAAACAUCAGAGUAUAGGCUCUCUGGAUAUUGUGAUGCAGAUUAUGCAGGGGACAAAAUGGAACGUAAAAGCACAUCUAGGAACUGUCAGUUCUUGGGAAACAAUCUCAUAUCUUGGGCUAGCAAAAGACAGUCAACCAUCGCUCUGUCUACCGUACAAGCAGAAUAUAUAUCAGCUUCACUAUGCACUACUCGGAUGCUCUAAAUGAAAAAUCAACUAGAAGACCUUCAGAUAUUUGAGAGUAACGUUCCUAUCUUCUUUGAUAAUACUGCUGCCAUAUGUUUAAGUAAGAAUCCUAUUUUGAAUUCCAAAGCGAAGCACAUAGAAAUAAAACAUCAUUUUAUCAGAGACUAUGUUCAGAAAGGGGUAAUAUCUUUAAAAUUUAUAGAUACAGACCAUCAAUGGGCUAACAUCUUCAGAAAACCCCUCGCUGAAGAUAGAUUCUCAUUCAUUCUGAAACACUUAAAAAUUGAAAGUUGCCUAGAAUGAACCUAACGUGCUUAUCUGAAAUAGCAAAAUAAGGCUCUGAAAAUAACAUCUGGUAUUUGGAUCUAACUCUGAUACUUCUACCAGUUAGGAGUCAUCUGAAUAAGAAAUCCUCAGGAUCCAAACCCUUUGUAUUCCUGAAGAUAAGAUAGAUCAACACGUGGGCUAUCUUGCGUCUGACCUUAGAUCUUCUAGACAAUUGUCUAGCAGAAAUCAAGAGACAGACCCUUGAGAUCUCCUCGUUUAAUGUGUCAUCAUUUAUUUUUUAACUUUUCAACUGCUCCUAAUGCUGUCGUUUUGCAUGUUUUCUAUGUGUAUUUAUAAUCUUCACAAUUCAUAAUUUCAAACUUUACACUCAUAGCCUACACAAACCUCUCUUCCUCUCCAAGUUCCUCAAAGUUAUUCAACCUUCAUCAAGUUCAUCAACUUCCUCAUGGAUUCCCAACAACAAUAUGUCUACAACUACUCUCAACAAAUGGAAUCAACGGAACAACCUCCCAAUUCUUCUCAACAAACAACUGCAACAACCGGUGUUGUCUCUACCCGCAUUUACAAAGAACCAUACAUUUUGGAUCGUGAACCACACAUCCAUCUUGCUACGCCCUUUGACAAGCUUGAGGUCUUGUGUGAAUCAUUGGUGGACUUUGAAAACAUGAAGAGGAACGGAAUUGGCCUUAGUGAAGAACUCGGAAAGCAAGGGUGGGAAAACUAUUUCCAAAGGCUCUAUGGUCUGGUCUAUACCUAUCUAGUAAAAGAAUUCUGGUGGUUUGCUGACUCAGAUGAUCAUUACAUAGUGUCAUAUGUUUUGGGGGUAAAAAUCGUCAUCACUGAGAAGUCCAUCGUCUCCCUUCUGAACAUGGAGAAUACACGGGGAAGAAGGAUUCCUAGGGCAAAGUACAUGUCCCAGGAAAUUUCCCCAACCAUUUUCAAACAGAACGCUGAAGGAAACUCCUCAAAGAACAAGGAACUUCACCAGAACCUCCGAGUAUGGCUGAAGAUCAUUCUAGGAAUCAUUCAUCAUUGCCCAACAUCAAACUCUUCUGACUACAUCAACACGGAUCAGAAAUGUAUACUCUACUACCUUCACAAAGGGCUCAAGUUGAAUCUUUCAGCGCUGCUAUUCAAAUACCUGAGAGACUCUGUAAGAGACACCAGGAACAACAUAAAUCCCAGAACCUACAUCCUUCUAGGAAGACUAAUCUCCGACGUUCUGAUCGAGAGCGGGCUGGUGGAUCACCUGAUUCAUCAUAAUAUGAUGGAGGAUGUCACCGUGGACACUAGAAGACCUAUGAAUGCUCGCAAUCUGACGAGCAUGGGGGUGAUUGAGAAAAUUAGGGUGAAACCCUUGUUGGACACCUCCUGGGAAGCCCUCAAAGAUCAGAGGAAGAUUCCAAAUGGCCUCUACCUCUUCUUUAAAAUUGAUCCUACAAAGGUUGUUGCACACUAUCUGCAGGAUCUCGCAAGCCAAGGAGUUGACAUCUCGAAGUUCUCUAUGGAUUGGCUUCCUGAGCAUCCACCCAACUUCAUGAAGAGACAACGAGAACCUUCUAAGAAGUCAAAGAAGGCCAAGAAAGAAAAGUUGGGGUAAUCUUCUGUAUCAAGACCUCUGGUCCCUCUGAUCGAAUCUCCAAGUAAGUCUCUGCCUCCUCAUUCUCGCUCUAUAAAUUUAAAGCAAAUUGCUUCUUCUCUUCCCCAGACCACACCCAUCUGCACUCACUCUGAACCCUCUCCCUCUACCACCAAACCAUCUGAUACUCCCACCUCUAAUCCACCAUCACCUCCAUUUCAAAAAUUUAAUCUCUCCACCAUAACCCUACCAAUCUCUAAAGUUGAAAUGCUUAACGAACCUAUUUCACCAAUCUCUUCAACACCAUCCUCUCCACCUUACUACAUCCUAUCAUCUAACUCAGAACCCUCUGGCCCCCAAUCCCCCAUCUUGGCUCAGCUUUAAGCUCGUGCUCUUUCCCCAUAACAACAACCUGAAACAGAAGCCAACACUUCUCCACCAUCUGAACAACCACAAAUACCAACAUCUGACCAACCCACACCACCACCAUCUGAACAACCACAAACUCCACCACCUGAACAACAAACAACAACACCAUCCGGAACUCCCAUCGUACCACCCUCUGAACAUAUUAUUAUCCCUACCUCUCAACCUCCCGCUAACACUACCCAAACACCACCAGAAUCUCCAUCCCCUAACUCUGAACCAGAACCUACCUUCCCCACCCUAGAAGAAGCAAUCUCUUAAUUUGUUGAGUCUUAAGUGGAGAAGAUCAGAUCUCUAUCUAAGAACUCUGGUAUCAGUAACGAUCCCUCUGCAGUGAGGAUUCACUAGAACAGAGUGAUCAAAUGGAUGACCUCUGAGGCCUUCAAACUGAAAAGCCUCUUUGAACAAGUCCGUAACGACUUUAUCAGAGAAGCUGGAGAAAGGCUACAUGCACGACUGGUUAGAGAGGCAGAGGAAAAGGCCAGAAGAGAAGCAGAAGAGAAGGCUCGUCUGGAAGAAGAGCAAAGGGUUAGAGAAGCUAUAGAGAAGGAUGCUGCUGAAGCUGCUGCUGAUGUGGCUGCUGCUGAAGCUGAGGCAAAAGCAAAAGGUAACACUAAAGAGGUAGCAUGCAUAGUUGCAGAAGAAGCUGCAAAGAAAAGCAAUGAUGCUCUGGCUCAUGGGGAGAAAUCAAACUCUGAUUUUUCUCCUAUGGUACUGAAGACUCUGGAAGAGCUACAUAAGGAACAACAAAUUGUGAGAGCAAGACUGGAUCAACAGGACUCUGUCAACAACAAUAUUCAGAACCUGCUGACUCAGUUGCUCCAAAGGAUGCCUCCACCUCUGAACCCUUAGGAACUUCGGCUUCUCUUGUUGUUUUUAUGUUUUCUUCUAUGUAUUCUAUGUUCUAUUUCAGAAUUACUGCUUACCUGUACUUGUCUUUAUCAUAUAUGAACUUCUUCUUUUUCCUUCUCUUUUAUGUGCUAAGUCUUUUUGAGUCUGUUAAAAAGAGGGAGAAUAAAAAUAGCUCUGAUGAAAAUAUAACUAAGCCUCUUGCUGCACUGCGCACAUUAAUCUCUUAUGAAAAUUAUAAGUUAUGCAGGAUCAUAACCAAGGUAAAAACUAGCUGCCACACAAGUAAAAUCUUGUAAGAACUUCUGAAAAUCCUUAUGAUUUAUCUUAGGGGGAGUCAUAUCUCAUCUGACUCUAAGAUAGUAUUUUCUAUUCUUGCUGAUAGUAUCAUUGUUUCAUCAUCACUCUGAAUUUUUUUUGUCAUCAUCAAAAAGGGGGAGAUUGUAAGAACAAACUCAAUAUCUACAAUUCAUCUCUAAGAUUUUGAUAAUAACAAAGGAUGAAACAAAAUGGUACCCUAACAUAUUUUAUCUAAGUAUGCAGGACUCUACUAAAAAAAGAAGUCAGAUAUACAUACAUCAGCUACAUACACAAGUUCAGAAUGACCACUUAGACGCAACUCAAGCAGAAGCUCUGACUCUGAAUAAAGGAACCGUACAAAGCAUAACAAACAAAGAGAGAUCAGACACUCUGAAGUGGAAGAGCGCACUCUAGGAUCUGAAGCUUUUAGACUCUAACAUAAUUAAUCAGGAAGACAUCAAGAACCUCUAAAGACAGUCAACUGCAAGCAACUUUCUGAAGAUAUACUUGCUGAACAGAAACUCUGAUAUUUUAACAUUCUGAUUCAGAAACGAUCUCCAAAGACUUAACUAUGAAGACUUCCACUUAUGGCAAGAAUCUAAUUUUAGAAGAAAGUUAUAGCGCCCCAAACCGCUUUGGAAAGAACACAGAGAUUAAUGACAUUUAUCAACCAUCAUUGCCAAAGAUCCUUUAAUUCAACGGUCUCCUCAUCACUCCUAUAUAUAGGAUGGAUCACUUCACUAAGUAGACAACGAAAACACACGAGAAUACACAAACUAUUUCAUAUCUCUUACUCAUUCUCUUUUUCACACGAGUUACUGCUCUAAAGUGUGAACAAUUCUUUUACCCUUACCUUGUGUAAUUUCUGCUUACCUAGAAGCACUAAGCACUAUUGUAAUUUUAUUUAAUUGUUGAAUUAUCCUCAAGUGGCUUGUGAAGUUUGUAAACUUGGGAGGGCUAAGAGAUGUUUAUCCUCUUAGAUGAUCAUUAUUGUAAUCUUUCAAGAUUAGUGGAUUAAGUCCUUAUUGAAGGCGAAAUCACCUUGGCCGGGUGGAGUGGAGUAGCUUUGAAUUUUAAGCGAACCAGUAUAAAAAUUCCGUGUUAAUAUUCUUAUUUUUCACGUGUGUUUUGUUUCCAAAAAGUUUUUAUUAUUAGUUAAAACAAUUCAAUCCCCCCUUUCUUGUUUUUCUCUACCUUCAGUUAAUACUUUCAUUUGUAUUUUCUUUCACCUUGAAAAUCCACUUGCACCUAAUAGAUUUUUUUUUGUGGUGGGAGAUUAGUAAAAGUCCAAGUGUCAUUUUUUAAGAAAGUCAUAUUUAACCUACAUUGCUUCAAACCACUUAGGUUGAGCUAAGGUAUGCUUUAUGAUGGUGAGAUAUGUGUGAACCAUGAAUACCUUUGGCUUGGAUUUUCCUUAGACAAUAACUCUUUGAUGUAUUUUAUAUGUGUCAGCAAUAUAGCUUCAUUGGGUUGAUGAUGCAUCUCGAUUCCAAGAAGAUACUUUGGCUUGCAAAUUUUCUUCAGCGCAAACCUAUUAUGAAGCUUUGAGCUCAUAUCAUGAAUUAUUUUAGGAGAUGUGCUAGUGAGAAGAGCACCAUCAACAUAAACUAAUGCGUAUAUGGUGAUGUUUUGAUGCUUAUAAACAAAGAGUGAGUGGUCACAUUUGCUUGAGGAAAAAUCAAAUUGAAGUACAUUUUGAUGGAGUUUUUGCUACAUGUAACACCCCGAUAAAAAUAAGAUAAUUAUUUAAUUUAAGUUAAUAUUAUAUUUAUUAAUUUAAUUAAAUAAUUGGAAUUAUUGGAAUAUUAUUAUUAUUAUUAUUAUUAUUAUUAUUAUUGGAAUAAUAAUUAAUUGGAAUAAUAUAUAAUAAUAUAAGUUGGAAAUAAGGCAAAAAAGUCCAAUUUGGUAAAAAGGUUUUCACGUGAAAGCAGAGAAGCGGCUGAAAAAAGAGAAGGGCAAGAGGCAGAGCAAGAGGAAGAGGUUGGAAAGAGAAAAGCUUGAGGCUAAAAGAUCGCCGGAUUAACUCAGGUAAGGGGGUUUAUCGUCGGUUAAUGGGUAUUAUGGUUAACAUGUAAUGGGUAGUGAUAAGCCGUUGAUUUGACCCUAAUUGGAUUAUGAAUGUUGAAAAUUGUGAUGAAUAGAUGAUGUGAAAACUGUAAUUGAAUCUGUAUUUGUGUGAGUUGUGAUUUCCGAACGUACUAGUUUUUACGGAAUCGGAAUCGGAGGUCCGGAAGUCCUCAACGGCGGAAAAUGCGGAGAAUUCUGCAUCUGCUUCGUGUUAGCGCAGGAACAGCUUUCUGUCUUGGCGUUAACCGGUUAACCCAGGGUGUUAACGGUUAACACUGUUAUGAACUGUGAAAAUAUUGCUGUUUUGCUUGCGUUACCGGUUAACCAGGGCGUUAACCGGUUACACUGUUGUGGAUUUCUGAGAAUUGCUAUUCUGUCUGCGUUAACCGGUUAACCCAGGGCGUUAACCGUUAACACAUGUUGAGUUUUGCCAGAAAGCGUGUUCUGUUUUGCGUUAACCGGUUAACCCAGGGCGUUAACCGGUUAACACUGUUGGAAAUUGGAAAAAAUUAAUAUUUGAAUAAUGUGUGCAUAAUUGGUGUUUGCCUAUAUUGGCGUAUGAUGUAAUAGGGAUUAAUUCCGCUGUUUUGAGCAGUAUAGGUAUUAGUGGAGUAUGCUAAUACUGUGAUUGAUUAAUUGCAUGACAUGAUAUGAUUAUGUGAUAAAUAUACUGAUGAGUGUGAAAAUAUGCAUAAUGUUGUGAAUGUAUAAUUUAUGCAUGUGUUGGUGAAUGGACUGUUUUAUGGCUUAGAGUGUGAGCAUAUGUCCAUUGUGAUUGUUGUUAAUGAUGUUGCAUUGCUAGGUGAAUUAGCAUGCCAUAUUGUGGCCUUUAUGGUGGUAGCUAAUUCCCAUGGUGAGGAUUAGUGAGUAAAUCAUUGUGGAUAUUGUUGAUGAUUUGCAUUGCUAGGUGAUUUAGCAUGCAUAUUGUAGUCUGUAUGGUGGUAGCUAAUUCCCAUAGUGAGGAUAAGUGAGUUGGUGGUAGCUAAUUUCGUGGUGAGGAUUAGUGAGUGAGUCACUAGGUCUCAAAUGAGUGGGACUAGUGGGCUUGGUAGCCGUAUCUGGAUUUGAUCGGUGAGGUGAACUAUAUGUUCACGAAUAGUCGGUACCGCAUGCAUGGAGUCUCAUUGCAUAAUGUAUGUAUUGUGUAUAAUAUGAAUGGAUGUGUCCAAUAUUAUACGUGUGUUUGAUGUUUAUGUUGAUAUGAUUAUGAGUAUGAGUUGAUGUUGCCGUUACUGAAUGUGUGAUGUAAUUAGGGUGAUUAAUGUGUUAUUUACUUAGCAUUACAUGAUAUUUUAUAAUGCUUUUUAUAUCGAUUGAGGAACUCACCCUUACAACUAUUUUUCAGGUAACGGCAGUGAUUGAGUAGAAGCUAGUGCUUGAGUCAUGUGUAGUCUCCUUAGUGGGUCGUGCUCUGAUAGAUGUAACAUCGGGACGGGAUGUUUAUACCUGUUGAAUAAUUUUAAUAAAUGUGUUACAUGUUUGGCAUGAUUGAUUUGAUUUCUAUCCGCUGCGUAUUGUGCAAAUGCUUUAUGUUUUGAAUUAAUAAAAGAGCAUGACAGUUAUUUGGUGAAUGGUGUGAAAUGAUUGUUGACACCCUUAAUUGCAUAAUUACUCUGAUUGAUAUAUUGCUAUUUUAAUUAAAUAUUUGGGGUAUUUAGAAGGUGUUACAUUAGUGGUAUCAGAGCAUAGUCGGUCGAGUCGAGUCGUAAUUAUUCUGUUUCCCUGUAGGGAUAGGUGUUGUAACCCUAUCAGUACUUAUUGUUUAGCUUGAUUGGUUUUCCAGAAUAGAGAUGGCUGGAAGAGGUAGAGACGAUGCUGCGAUUGCUGAGGCUCUGGGUAUGCUAGCUGGAGUACUUGAAGGAAAUCCGAAUGUUGUGGGAAUGGGAGCUGCUCGUCAACUGAGUGAGUUCCAGAAGAACAAUCCUCCAAUGUUCAAGGAGCAUACGAUCCAGAUGGUGCUCAGAGUGGUUGAAGGAGAUCGAGAGGACUUCCGAGUGACUGAGUGUGCCGAUAACCAGAAGGUCAGGUUCGUACGCAUAUGCUGUCAGAAGAAGCAGAUGUUGGUGGUUGCUACCGCACUGAGUUGGAAUCUGCUGGGAAUGCUGAGAUCACUUGGGGCUGUGUUCAGAGAGAGUUCCUGAGAAAGUACUUUCCAGAGGAUGUCAGGAGGAAAGAAAAGAGAUAGAGUUCUUGGAAUUGAAGCAGCGGCAACGGUCUGUUACUGAGUAUGCCUGCUAAGUUCACAGAGCUGUCGAAGUAUUACACUCCUAUGAUGAGGCUACUGGGGAAUUUUCAAAAUGUGUGUAAGUUUGAGAACGGGUUGCGUCCGAGAUCAAGCAGGCUAUUGGAUAUCAGCGGAUUAGAGUGUUUCUGAUUUGUUGACUGUUGCAGGAUUUUGAACAGGAUACCAAGGCCAGAGCGGAAAGCUAUCAGCAGAGGGUUGAUAGGAAAGGCAGAAUCAGAAUGAUCGUGGGAAAUCGUAUGCAGCUGGCAAAGGUUUCCAGAGACAGAGUGGAAUGAAGAGGCUCGUGGGGGAACUCUAGUGCCCCUGCUAAGUGUUACAGAUGUGGUCAGGCUGGACAUCGUGUCCAUGAGUGUACCAGUGCUGAGAGGAAGUGUUUCAAGUGUGGCAAAGGUGGUCAUUCGCUGCAGAGUGCGGUCGAAGCCUGUGACUUGUUCAACUGUGGAGAGUUGGGUCAUAUAGCCCCACAGUGUCCAAACCGAAGAGAGAGAACAGUCGGGAGGCAAGGUAUUUGCUUUAUCGGGUUCUGAGACUUCUGCAGAUGAUCGUUUGAUCCGAGGUACGUGUUAUAUUAUGGCUUCUCUUGUAGCUAUUAUUGACACAGGUGCGACUCAUCCUUUAUAUCUUUGGAUUGUGCUGUGAAACUUAAGUUAGAGAUAUCUGGAUGCAUGGAAGUAUGGUGAUUGAUACUCUGCGAAGGGUUCAGUGACUACUACUUCAGUUUGUUUAAAAUGCCUUUGAGUAUUUUUGGUAGAGACUUUGAUCGAACUCUAGUGUGUCCUUCCACUCGUGCAGAUUGAUGUAAUUCUGGGUAUGAACUGGUUUGGUGGGUACCGAGUUUAUUAUCACUGUUUUGAAUAAGACUGUGAUUCUUUCCUGAGAUGAGGAAAGAUAAGGAUUUGUUUCUAUCAGCGAGGCAGGUGAAUGAGGGCAGUAGAAGAAUGGGGCCAAGUUGUUUUAUGCUGUUAGCGACUUUGGAGCUAAAGAAAACUGGUGAUUUGCGACCUACGUGUGGUGGUGUGAUUUUCCUGAUGUGUUCCCGUUGAAGAAGUGAAUGAAAUUACGCCAGAGCGUGAAGUUGAGUUUCGAUUGAUGUGGUACCUGUACUAGCGCCGGUGUCGAUGGCUCGUACCGUAAAUGUCUGCUGUGAGUAACUGAACUGAAGAGUGCAGUUGGAAGAUCUUGUUGGAUAAGAAUUUAUAUCGUCUGAGUGUGUCACCGUGGGGUGCGACCUAGUGUUAUUGGUUAAGGAAGAACAGAAGGUACUAUGAAAGGUUGUGUCGUGGACCUACAGGCAACUGGAAUAAAGUGACGAUCAAGAAUCGGUAUCUUUGCCGAGGAUGAUGAUUUGAUGGAUCAGUUGUUGGUGCGAGUGUGUUAAGCAAAUAGAUUUGAGAUCUGGGUAUCAAUCAGAUACGUGUGAAACUGAGGAUAUUCAAGAAGACUGCUUUCAGAACAAGGUAUGGACAUUAUGAGUAUUCUGUAAUGCCUUGUGUGACUAAUGCGACUGGAGUAUUUAUGGAGUAUAUGAAUAGGAUUUUCAUCCGUAUCUAGACAAGUUUGUUGUGGUGUUAUUGACGAUAUUUGGUGUAUUCGAAAUCGGAAGAAGAGCAUCGCUGAGCAUUUGAGAAUGGUUUUAGGAGUUCUACGAGAAAAGAAGUUAUUUGCUAAACUGUCCAAGUGUGAAUUUUGGUUAGAAGAGGUUAGUUUUCUUGGUCAUGUGAUUUCAAGAGAUGGUGUUGCUGUUGAUCCUUCUAAGAUAGAAGCGGUAUCUAAGUGGGAAGCUCCGAAGUCAGUUUCUGAGAUAAGGAGUUUUCUUGGUUUGGCUGGUUAUUAUAUGGAAAUUCAUUGAGGGAUUUUCUAAGUUGGCGUUACCCGUUGACGAUUGUGACUAGAAAGGGGCAGCGUUUGUUUGGGACUCAAAAUGUGAAGAAGUUUCAAGAGUUAAAGAGAAGGUUGACUACUGUCUAUUAUGAUAUUACCGAGUUCGUCGGAAUCAUUUGAGGUUUCUGUGAUGCUUCAUUGUUGGCUUGGGUGGUGUGUUGAUGCAGAAUAGAGGUUAUAGCUUAUGCUUCGAGACAACUGAGGGUUCAUGAGAGGAAACUAUCCGACACACAGAUUUAGAGUUGGCAGCUGUGGUAUUUGUUCUGAAGUUAAUGGAGGCAUUACUUGUACGGGUCAAGAUUUGAGGUUUUCAGUGACCAUAAAAGUUUAAAGUAUUUGUUUGAUCAGAAAGAGCUGAAUAUGAGACAGAGGAGAUGGUUAGAGUUUCUGAGAUUAUGAUUUGGUUUGAAUUCCAUCCGGGUAAAGAAAACGUAGUGGCUGAUGCAUUGAGUCGGAAAUCAUUGCAUAUGUCUAAUGUUAACUGGUUAAGGAAUUGGAUUUAAUUGAGCAGUUUAGAGACUUGAGUUUGGUGUGUGAGAGUACUCCACAUAUAGUGUUAAACUGGGAAUGUUGAAGUUAACGAGUGGUAUUUCUGGAUGAGAUUAGAGAGGGUCAGAAAUCCGAUGUGCUUUUGGUUGAUAAGUUGACUCUUAGUGAUCAAGAUCAAGGUGGUGAAUUCAGAGUUGAUGACGAAUGGUGUUUUGAAUUUGGUAAUCGGCGUGUGUAUUCCGGAUGUUACGAACUUAAGAAGAGUAUUCUUGAGGAAGGACAUCGUAGUGGCCUGAGUAUCAUCCCUGGGGCUACGAAGAGUAUCAUUGAUUUGAAAAAAUUAUUUGGUGGCCGGGAAUGAAAGAGAAUUUCGAGUUUUGUUUAUUCUUGUUUGACUUGUCAGAAGUCGAAGAUUGAGCAUUCAGAAGCCGUCUGGGCUAAUGCAACGUUGCUAUUCAUAGUGCGAAGUGGGAUAGUACCAGUAUGGAUUUUUGUUUCUGGUUUACGAGGACAAGUAAGAUUUUGAAGCUAUUUGGGUGAUGUAGAUAGAUUGACGAAAUCGGCUCAUUUCAUUCCGAUCAGAAUGGAGUUAUCUCGUUAGAAAGAUUCCGAGUUUAUAUUGAGAAGAUUGUAAGUUUGCAUGGUAUUCGUCGAGUAUUGUUUCGGAUAGAGAUCCUAGCAUUACAUCGACAGUUUUGGGAAGGUUUAGCAGAGGCUUUGGGAACUAAGCUGAGCUUGAGUUCUGCAUAAUCAUCGCAGACUGAUGUCAGACUGAAGAGGCGAUUCAGUCACUCGGAGCAUUCUUUGAGGGCUUUGUGUUUGGAAAAAGGGAGGGUACUUGGGAUUGUUUAUUUACCUUUGAUGUGAGUUUUACCUACAACAAUAGUUUCAUUCGAGCAUUGGUAUGCACCGUUUGAAAAGCGCUUUGUAUGAGUAGGAGUGUCGACGCCUUUUGUUGUAAUGAGUCCGGUGAGAGUGCUGUGGUUGGACGGAGAUUGUCAACACACUACGGAAAAGAUUAAGAUAAUCAGGAGAAGCAGAGAAUUUGCUCAGAGUCGUCAAAGACGGUUAUCACGAACAAGAGGAGGGAAGUCACUUGAGUUUCAGAGGGAGAUCAUUGUGUUCUUCGUUUACUAUUCCGAUAACUGGGGUGCCGAUUGGCUGAGCUUUUGAAAGUCGAAGUGAUAACUGUGACAUCCCGAUUUAUGCGUCCUAUCAGAUUUGGAGAGGAAGGGGAGUAGCCUAUCGUACUCGCUUUACCGCCGUCACUGUGCGAUUUGCAUGAGGUUUUCAUGUGUCUCAGUUGAGGGGUACUUCCUUGAUCCUUCGCAUGUAGUCCAAAUAGGAUAUCGUUACGGUGAGAGAAUAACCUGAAUGUUGAGACAUCACCUAUGAGGAUCGAGGGAUCGAGAAUUGAAGCAGUUGCGGGUAAAGAGAUUGUUUUGAUAAAGGUAGCUUGGGGAGACCAGCAGGUGGCAAUGUGACUUUGGGAAACUUGAGAGUCAGAUGAAGGAGUCUAUCCGGAGUUAUUCGCUUUGAGGUAUGUUUCGAGGAACGAAAACUCUUUUAGUGGGGAGAGUUGUAACACCCGACAAAAAUAGAUAAUUAUUUAAUUUAAGUUAAUAUUAUAUUUAUUAAUUUAAUUAAAUAAUUGGAAUUAUUGGAAUAUAUUAUAUUAUUAUAUAUUAUUAUAUCUAUUGAAAUAAUUAUUGGAAAUAUAUAUAAGUGAAAUAAGGAAAAAGUUCCAAUUUGGUAAAAAGAGUUUUCACGUGAAAGCAGGAGAACGGCUGAAAAGAGGAAAGGGAAAGAGGCAGAGCAAAGGAGAAGGUUGGAGAAGAGAAGAGUUGAGGCUAAAAGAUUCGCCGAUUAACUCAGGUAGGGGGGAGGUUAUCGUCGGUAAUGGUAUUAUGGUAACAUGUAUGGGUAGUGAUAAACCGUUGAUUUGACCUAAUUGGAUUAUGAAUGUGAAAAUUGUGAUGAAUAGAUGAGUGAAAACUGUAAUGAAUUUUAUUUGUGUGAGUUGUGAUUCCGCAACGUAUAGCUUUUUACGGAAUCGAAUCGGAGGUCGGAAGUCCUCCAACGGCGGAAAAUACGGAGAUUCUGCAUUCGCUUCGUGUUAGCGCAGGAAAGUUCUGUCUUGCGUUAACCGGUUAACCCAGGUGUUACGCGUUAACACUGUAUGAACUGUGAAAAUAUUGCUGUUUGCUUGCGUUAACCGGUUAACCCAGGCGUUAACCGGUUAACAACUGUUGUGAUUCUGAGAAAUUGCUAUUCUGUCUGCGUUAACCGGUUAACCCAGGGCGUUAACCGUUAACACUGUUGAGUUUUGCCAGAAAGCGUGUUCUGUGUUGCGUUAACCGGUUACCCAGGGCGUUAACCGGUUAACACUGUUGGAAAUUGGAAAAAUUAAUAUUGAAUAAUGUGUGCAAAAUGUGUUUGGCCUAUAUUGGCGUAUGAUGUAAUAGGGAUUAAUUCCGCUGUUUGAGCAGUAUAGGUAUAGUGGAGUAUGCUAAUACUGUGAUGAUUAAUUGCAGAACAUGAUAUGAUUAUGUAUAAAUAUAACUGAUGAUGUGGUAAAUAGCAUAAUGUUUGUGAAUGUAUAUAUUAUGCAUGUGUUGGUGAAUUGACUGUUUUAUGCUUAGAGUGUGAGCAAUGUCCAUUGUGGAUUGUUGUUAAUGAUGUGCAUUGCUAGGUGAAUUAACAUGCAUAUUGUGGCUUUAUGGUGGUAGCUAAUCCCAUGGUGAGGAAUUAGUGAGUAAAUCAUUGUGGAUUAUGUGAUGAUUUUGCAUUUGCAGGUGAUUAGCAUGCAUAUUGUAGUCUGUAAUGGUGUAGCUAAUUCCCAUAGUGAGGAAUUAGUGAGUUGGUGGUAGCUAAUUUCCGUGGUGAGGAAUUAGUAGUUGAGCUCACUAGGUCUCAAAUGAUGGGACUAGUGGGCUUGGUACCGUAUCUGGAUUUGAUCGAUGAGGUGAACUAUAUUUUCACGAAUAGUCGGUACCGCAUGCAUGGAGUCUCAUUGCUAAUGUAUUGUAUUGUGUAUAAUAGAAUGGAUGUGUUCCAAUAUAUACUGUGUUUUGAUGUUUAUGUUGAGUAUAUUAUGAAGUAUGAGUUGAUGUUGCGAUACUGAAUGUGGAAUGUAAUUAGGGUGAUUAAUGUGUUAUUUACUAGCCAUUACAUGAUAUUUAUAAUGCUUUUAUAUCGUAUUGAGGAACUCACCUUACAACAUUUUUCAGGUAAGAGCAGUGAUUGAGUAGAAGCUAGUGCUUGGAGUCUAGUGUAGUCUCCUUAGUGGGUCAUGCUCUGAUAGAUGUAACAUGAGACGGGAUGUUUUAAACCUUGUUGAAUAAUUUUACAUGUAAUGUGUUACAUGUUUUGCAAUGUAUUUGAUUUCUAUCCGCUGCGUAUUGUGCAAAUGUUUUUAUGUUUUGAUUAAUAAAAGAGCAUGACAGUUAUUUGGUGAAUGGUGUGAAAUGAUUGUGUGACACCCUUAAUUGCAUAAUUACUCUGAUUGAUAUAUUGCUAUUUUAAUUAAAUAUUUGGGGUAUUUUAGAAGGGUGUUACACUACAUGCCCUUGUAGCCUGUUAUAGACCAUAUAUUUUCUUCUUUAAUUUUCACAUUAUAUUUGAGUUGGUGUUGACAAAACCAGAUGGUUGUUACAUGUACACUUCUUCUUGAAGAUCUCCAUUGAGAAAAGCAUUAUUGAUGUCAAUUUGUUGGAUUUCCCAUUGACAUGUAAUAGCCAAUGACAAGAUGAUUCUAAUGGUGGUAGGCUUGACUACAGGUGAAAAAGUUUCAUGGAAAUCAAAGGCUUGAUGUUGGUGAAAGCCUUUUUCUACGAGCUAGCCUUGUAUUUGUUAAUACUUCCAUAUGUAUUUUCUCUCACCUUGAAAAUCCACUUGCACACAAUAUAUUUUUUUUGUGGUGGGAGAUUAGUAAAAUUCCAAGUAUAAUUUUUUAAGAGAGUUAUAUUUAACCUGCAUUGAUUCAAAUCACUUAUGUUGAGACAAGGAUGCUCUAUGGUGGUGAGUUCUGUGUGAACAAUGAAUACCUUUGGUUUGGAUUUGCCCAUUUUGACUCUUGUAAGCAUGGAGUGAUUAUUCUAAGAAGGGGAGUAUUUUGAGGUUGACUAUGAAAAAAGGGAGAUUAUGAUUCUCUGGACUCAGAUAUGUAUUGGUGAGAGAAGGAAUUGAUACUUUCACUUUCUGGAGGUGACUUAUGAAGUAAGCUAUGUGCAUAUUUAGAAAGAUUCUAACUGAGGCAUGACUAUGGUUAUGACUGGAUGUAAUUGUGUUUGGAUGAAUAUUAUCAAGAUUGUUUUAUGGUUUAAGAGUGUGUCUAAUUGGUAAAAUCUGAUUUAGGGAAGUUGGCUCAAGUUGGGAAUGAUGAGGUCCGGUUGACUCAGUCUGAGAGAUCGACUCUGGUGUCAUACCCCAAAAUUUACCCCACUUUUUUCAUUUCAUCUAGCCCAUGGUCCAUUUCAUCUGCAUAGUCUUAUCCUUAUCAUCUAUCACAAGACAUUUAUCUGCAUUCUCAUUUUUUCAAAUAAAAUCAUUUAUUCAAAGAUUUCUUGUUAUUUAUGGUGCAAAGCAUUGAAUUGUCACUAGGAAGCUAAUUCAUGAGCUAGGGUUUACAUGGUAUGCACUUAUGAAUCAAGCAUAUGGGAUCAUUGUGCUAUAUUUGGCUUUGGGAUGUUCAUUUCUCUUGGACUGAGUCUUUAGGGAUCCCUAUUUUUGGUCUAAACUUAUUGAUCAUGUUGAUUACAUCAUGGACAUGUGAAUUUGGAAGUCAUGUGCAAGUUUGAUUUUGGUCAACAAAGUCAACCAUGGGAGGUUGACUUUUUGUUGACCAAUUUCUUUAUGGGACCUUUUACAUGACAUUAUUGGUUAGAUUUUUCUCUUUUGGAUUCAAGAACAUUCACAUUCAUUGCAACUCAAAUUCAAGAAGUUCAAAUUUUCAAAACUCAUAAUUUGGAGGGAAAAGCACUUUGCUUGAGAAAUAAGUCACAAGUACAUUUCAAAGGCCAAGAUUCAUAUUACAAGUAUCAAAAUUUCAUUACAAAAGGGAAAGUACAAAUUACACACAAUUUUUUUUUGACCUAUGGUUGACCUUUGAUCAACUGUUGACCAAAAGUCAAACUAAUCUUAAACCUACUCUAAGUCUACUUUUCUCUUGAUUCUUCAUGUGGUCCUCCAAGUACUUCGAGUGCAUUCCAAAAUACUUCAUAUUCUUGAUGCCAUAAUGCCAAACCUUUGUGCCAUGACAAAACCAUUUCAUGAUGUUACUAUACACCAGCCCUGCAACAAAUAAGACCAAGGCAACAUUAGUUUACACUUCAUGUAAUGCAACAAAGUGAUGACAUCCCAUACAUGGUGCCCUAACACAUGCCAAAUUAAGUUUUUACAUUCAAUACACCAACACACACAAUGUACACUUUAAAUUCAACAUUAAAUAUUCAUACACAAGCCAACUUGACAGCAUAUAUGUACAUUUAUCAUACACAAGCCAACCAUCCAAAUUCAUGAAAAUCACAAGCUAUCAACAAACCAAAUUAGCAUACCCAUUUCAUCAUUCUCAAAUCAACUUGUUACAAGACUAAUGCAUCCAAACAGCCAUACCAUGCAUCUAAAUCACCAUCAUACAUUGACUCAAACCAUAAUUAAUAACAAUCAUCUAGCUGACAUUUGUUUCAAGUUGAUUAUGCAAAUCCAUUCUAACAAACUACUAACAUGUUCAAUUAACAUCAUUUUAACUGUUCUAACAUUAACCUUCAAACUAACAUGAUUUUCUAAGCUGAUUCACUAGUUAAUUAAUUUUCUCAAACUCCAUAACAAUUCAGCUAAUAUGAUAAUUAGUUCCAAUUCCAAUAACUUAAUAAUUCAAGUUUCAUGAGAAUGAUUCAAUUACUAACAAUUAUGUUCAAACUAACCAACAACUCAAACUAAAUACUAACCUAAACUAACAUUUUUUUUACAACUAACAACCAACUAACAAAAUUAACCUAACAAUUGGAUCACUAACUGUCAAUCUCAACUAACAUCUCUAAACUAAUCAUACUAACAAAUUUUUCAUUAACAUGUAAAUAUCUCAAAUAACUCUCUAACUGUCAUAAUUAACAAAUUAACUAAAUUAUAUUUCCUAACAAUUAACUAGUUCACCAACUCUCAUAACAGUUAAUAAAAACUAAUUUGGUUCCCUAACUAUCACAAUCAACAAACUUGAUUAACUGGUUUUUUCUAACUAUCAUAUAACUAACUAACUCCAAUUAACCAAUUACAUGAUUCCAUAGCAGUUUAACAGUCCAACAUAAUCUCUAAGAACAUUUUCUAACUGUCAUCAAAUUUACACUUCCAAUGGCCAAAAUCUCAACUCAUUAACUAUCAACUGAUAAAUUUAACUCACCUAACUAACUUACUCAUGAAUCAAUUAACACUAAUAUAUGACCUAAACUGUAACUAACUUGCCUUAACAUCUACCCCUAAACAAUUACAAAUCCCAUCAACUUCAAUCUCUAUCUAAACCAAACUUUCCUCAAUCAUGAAGGCCCGUUCACACUGUAAAUUUACUCUCAGAUUACUCUCCACUCUCUGCAAUUCUCUCUACUCUCCCUCACCAACACUAAAAACUCUUCAAUCUCCAUUGUUGAGCAGAACUUCACAUUGAAGUUUUGCUCCAACUGAGUUAAGCCCAUAUUCUUAUCAUUAUCAAUUCACUCUUCCUAAUCAGCAAUAACAACACUACCAAUCCUACAUGCUAAGUGCAUAGAAGAAGAAGAAGGAGGAAGAAUAACAACAAGUAGCAAAAGAUUUAAAGCGUACCUAAUACAUCUCUGGUACUUUUCUAUGCAAUUUCUUCUUCAACCGCUUCAACGCUUUCCAUGGUAAACCUCGACCCAAUGCUUUUAAUUACUAGCCAGACAUCCUUUACACUUCACACCCCUGGUAGAGAGUGAAUUUAAUUAUUAAUUAUUAUUAUUGGUUUUUUCUUUUAAUUCUUUUGUAGCACAUUAAAAAUCCUUAUUAAAAAUUACACCCUUUAAUAAAUGAAUAUCAUUAGAUUAGGUUUUUAGUUAGAUUGAUUUUAAUUUCUUUUAAUUUUAUUUAAUGAUUAGGUAGAAAUUAUGAUUAACAUGAUUAAAUUUCAAUUGAUAAUGCUUCUAGUUUUGUUUCCUAAUUGCAUGUGUUUGUUGUGUGAUUUUUAGCAUGAUCCUUUAUUGAUUGAUUAGUUGAUCAAUUUAGUUUGAUCAAUUAAUUACAUUUUUGACUUUAUACUUGUUGUAUGAAUUUUCAUGAACAAUUUCAUGCUCCCUUUAGGAUACCUAUUCAUUCAAGUGAUCAUAAGACUCUUAAUCCCUUAAUUGAAUUAGACCUUUACACUUGUUCACACUUGAUCCAUCAAGACAAUCUCAAGUCCAGUCACAUUCAAGACCCUGAAGAUAAAAGGACAUCAAAACCUAGUCAUGUUGGGCUUCAUCCAUUCAAUCACACCUUGCUUCACCCUUUUCAAAACAAAAGACUCUUUUUAACUUUAAAACACUCUUUAAUUAUUAUGUGAAUUGCGCGCCACGAGCCUUAAGAAAUAGAGAAUAAUGAGAGGGAUCGUUCAUAUCCUUAUUAUGAGUAUCUUUGAAUACGAGGCAUGGGCCCCAAUUAUUCAAAGUAUUUUCCUUUGUUCAUAGACUUUAGUGAAAUUCAAAUUAAAACAACUUUCAACCUUUCAUCCACAGAUCACACCUCAACAAUCCAUAUCAUCAAUACAAUUCUCUUUGGACCAAACAUUACACUCUUUGGAUACCUAUACACUCUGGAGGUUAAUCACCUGCUCUUGUUUUAUCACCUCCUUCAUGGGUUAGUCACCUUCUCAAGGUUAAACACCCACCUCUGAACCAUACAUAACUCUUGAGGUUAAUCACUAGUUCUUGGUUAAUCACCUUCUUCAUGGUAUAAUCACCUUCUCAUGGUUAAAACCCUUUUUCAUGCAUGUUUGCCUUGUGAGACCCAGGCUUAGGGAAACCCAUCUCAUGCAUGUUCGCCUUGUGGGAUUCAGGCUUAGACGAACUCCUUAUUCUCAUGUAUAUCAGCCUCGUGAGACUCAGGCUUAGGAAAACCCCUUUUCUUUUAUGUUUACCUUAUGAGACUCAGGGUUGGGUAAACCUUUUUGCAUGCAUGUCUGUCUUGUGAGACUCAGGUUUAGACAGACCAUUUCAUGCAUGUGUUCCUUGUGAUACUCAGGCUUAGGCAAGCCCCCUUUCAUGCGUGUUUUCCCUGUGAGACUCAGGCUUAGGAAAACUCCUCAUUCUCUUGCAUGCCUGCCUUGUGAGACUCAGGCUUAGGCAGACCCCCUCUUUGUAGGUAUUGAUCCCUGGAUAUAGGCAAAACCCUACAACUCAGCAUUGUCUAAUCACCAUCUAUUGGUUAAAAGCCACACUCUUUGGUUCACAUACACCACUUUAUGAGUUCAAACAAUACACUCUUGGUCCAAACAACACCUUCAUCAUUUCACAAAUCUUUUUCCCAUUCAUUCAUAAACUCUUUCUCAGUUCAAUUCAAUCAUUUGAAAAUAACUUUCUUUUUAAAAAAGAACUAUUAUAAUUUGUUCCUUAGAAGUCAGACUAAAAGCAUAGAGCAUCCGAACAAGGAUCUGAAUCAGCUAACGUCAAAGCACUUCUAAUACACGAUUAUAAUUGUUCCCUAAAAACAACCAACAAAUUUGUAGUUUUCUACCAUGAACUACGAAGCUCUAAUUUUCUCAUUGCACUAUGAGAAUACGUAGACAUGAGGGUUUGAAUCCUUGGCGAACACACUAAUUAAAAACUUAUUUUCCUCCUUAAUUAAAACUAGUCACAAGUAACCUUUAGAUAAUAACACCCGUCCGCGCAAAGAACAAUCAAAAUGGUUCCCAUUGAAUACAACGAGUGUGGGGGGUACUAAUAUCUUCCCCUUGCAUAAAUGACUUCCUUACCUUAUUUAUCUACCCUUAAGAUUUUAUUGAUAUUUUUCUUUUCUCUUAGAAUAAAUAAAAUUUAGUGGCAAAUCUGUUGUAUUUCGAACGUGUGAUGCGCUCAAGUAUUUUUCACAGUGCAACACCUUGUAGAUGAAGUUAAUUGAUUCUGUCAAUAUGUGGGGUUGGAUGAGUCUGUUUAGUUGGUAUACGUUGAGAUUUUCUACAUUAAACUAGAGACAAGGAAGAGCUAUUAUGAACUUGGUCUAUGUUUUUUGAGGGAGAAUAAUGUGACAUAAAUUGUAGGUCAAGAGCACAUACAUCCUUUGAAAUAAAGAUUGUGCCUUCCUUAUUCAUGCACUUGUAGUCUUUAUGUGUAGGUAAGACUUCCAAGAGCACAUACUUUAAGCUUCAAAAUUCCAAUUUGUGUUGAUUAUAAGGUGUUAGGAGAGGAUAGAGGAUAACAUGCACAUCCAAAGACAUUUAUCCUAUGUUUGGAUGUGCAUUUAUACUAUCUUAACUUCCAUUGCUCAAACAGACAUUUUUAAGAUUAAUUUUUACCUUAAUUUCCUUGCUCAAAUGGACUUUCUUAAGAUUAUCUUUUUACCAUAAUAAAACCCAAUAGACAUUUAGCCAUUAUUUGGAUGUGCAUUUAUACUAUCUUUCUCGUGUGCCAAACCAUAUUUGACAUGAAAAAUGGAGAAGCUACAUAUAGUAUAUCUGUUUGAACUUGAGUAAGAAGCAUCUCUCCCCUAUUGUAAAAGAAAAUUGUUAUAGAACUUGUUUCAAUUUUUAAACUUAGUAUAAAAACAUAUUUCCAUCAAUUACACUAAACUAAAUGUAGAAACAUCUAGAGUGCAAGAAAAAUCUACCAAGUCAAUUAUAAUACCUAAAAAACACACUAUACAACCAAAGAGGUUGGAGAAUGGAACCCAUAAUAAAAUAAAAUAAAAAUUAGAAAGGAAGUUUCAACUUCAUACAGGGAAACAAAAGGAAAAAACACUUUGAACUUAUCACAACAUUAACCAGGGUAAAACCGGAACAUAACUAUUUCAAAACAAAAAUAAAAUCAUCUGUUUAUUUGUCCAUAAUAUUUUCACUCUACUCUCUAACUCUAAUCUACUUUUCCUUUCUUCAUUCAUGUAUCAAUAAGUAUAACCACCGUUUUGGUUUCUUCUUCCUUUUUUAUGAUAAGAAGCUUCUGAUGAUGAAGAAGAAGAUGAAGAGAUUGCAGCAAAAUAAUAGUUCUCACUCUAAAUAUUGUUACUUUCUUCCUCAUCCAUGAAAAUCUGCUGGCAUCUACAUUCCACGCUACAAAAAGCUCUAUCCCC
rnacentral:lncRNA from 1 species